GACGAACGCUGGCGGCGUGCUUAACACAUGCAAGUCGAACGGUGAAGGGACCAGCUUGCUGGUUCUGGAUGAGUGGCGAACGGGUGAGUAACACGUGAGUAACCUGCCUCCUUCUUCUGGAUAACCGCAUGAAAGUGUGGCUAAUACGGGAUAUUCUGGGUCUGUCGCAUGUCGGGCCCGGGAAAGCUAUUGCUUCGUCGGGGGAUGGGCUCGCCGCCUAUCAGCUUGUUGGUGGGGUGAUGGCCUACCAAGGCGGUGACGAGGAGCCGGCCUGAGAGGGUGGACGGUCACACUGGGACUGAGACCCGGCCCAGACUGCUACGGGAGGGAGCAGUGGGGAAUAUUGCACAAUGGGCGCAAGCCUGAUGCAGCGACGCCGCGUGAGGGAUGGAGGCCUUCGGGUUGUAAACCUCUUUCGCCAGUGAAGCAGGCCUGCUACUUGUGGGUGGGUUGACGGUAGCUGGAUAAGAAGCGCCGGCUAACUACGUG
rnacentral:rRNA from 1 species